UACGGGGGGGGGCAAGCGUUGUUCGGAAUUACUGGGCGUAAAGGGCUCGUAGGUGGCCAACUAAGUCAGACGUGAAAUCCCUCGGCUUAACCGGGGAACUGCGUCUGAUACUGGAUGGCUUGAGUUUGGGAGAGGGAUGCGGAAUUCCAGGUGUAGCGGUGAAAUGCGUAGAUAUCUGGAGGAACACCGGUGGCGAAGGCGGAUCUCUGGGCCUUACCUGACGCUGAGGAGCGAAAGCAUGGGGAGCAAACAGGG
rnacentral:rRNA from 1 species